AGCUCCAAUAGCGUAUAUUAAAAUUGUUGCGGUUAAAACGCUCGUAGUUGGAAAUAUGUGAGUGAGUCUCGGUCCUUCCCAGAGAAGAAUACACGGGAUUUCGCUUGCAUUUGUUCAGGUAUCGUGGUUGCACUUCAUUGUGAGACUACAAGGUCUGGAUUUUUACUUUGAGGAAAUAAGAGUGUUCCAAGCAGGCAGUUGCCGUGAAUAUGAUAGCAUGGAAUAAUAGUACGGGACUCUUGGUUCAAUACUGUUGGUUUGUUGAGCUAGAGUAAUCCAAAUAAGGAUAGUUGGGGGUAUUCGUAUUUAACUGUCAGAGGUGAAAUACUUGGAUUUUUUAAAGACGAACAAUUGCGAAGGCAUCUACCCAGGAUGUUUUUGUUGAUCAAGAACGAAAGUA
rnacentral:rRNA from 1 species